rnacentral:rRNA from 1 species
AUUGAACGCUGGCGGCAGGCCUAACACAUGCAAGUCGAACGGUAGCACAGAGAGCUUGCUCUCGGGUGACGAGUGGCGGACGGGUGAGUAAUGUCUGGGAAACUGCCUGAUGGAGGGGGAUAACUACUGGAAACGGUAGCUAAUACCGCAUAACGUCGCAAGACCAAAGAGGGGGACCUUCGGGCCUCUUGCCAUCGGAUGUGCCCAGAUGGGAUUAGCUAGUAGGUGGGGUAAUGGCUCACCUAGGCGACGAUCCCUAGCUGGUCUGAGAGGAUGACCAGCCACACGGGAACUGAGACACGGUCCAGCCUCCUGCGGGAGGCAGCAGUGGGGAAUAUUGCACAAUGGGCGCAAGCCUGAUGCAGCCAUGCCGCGUGUAUGAAGAAGGCCUUCGGGUUGUAAAGUACUUUCAGCGAGGAGGAAGGCAUUAAGGUUAAUAACCUUAGUGAUUGACGUUACUCGCAGAAGAAGCACCGGCUAACUCCGUGCCAGCAGCCGCCGUAAUAC